UUAGAAGCAGCCAUCCUUUAAAGAGUGCGUAAUAGCUCACUAGUCAAGAGAUCUUGCGCCAAUAAUGUAACGGGAGUCAAACACGAUACCGAAGCUACGGGUACAUCUGUACGUUAGAGGAGCGUUCCUAGGGCGGUGAAGCUAAACCGUGAGGAUUAGUGGAGCGUUAGGAAGUGAGAAUGCCGGUAUGAGUAACGAUUCGUGGUGAGAAUCCACGACGCCUAUUGGGAAAGGUUUCCUGGGGAAGGUUCGUCCACCCAGGGUUAGUCAGGACCUAAGGAGAGGCUGAAAAGCGUAUUCGAUGGAUAACAGGUUAAUAUUCCUGUACUAUCUAUAAUUAGUGAUGGAAUGACGGAGAAGGAUAACAAUACCCAUUAUCGGAUUUGGGGGUAAGCAACGACUGGUCAAUGUAGUUAAAUGCGCAUUGUAUAACCGGGAUUUGUGAUGCAUAGUGAUUUAUUUCACGAAUUUUGUGAUUCCAUGCUUCCAAGAAAAGUUUCUAAGCGUUAUAAAAUUAUAGGUACCUGUACCGAGAACGGACACACGUUCCCAAGAUGAGUAUUCUAAGGCGAGCGAGAAAACCAAUGUUAAGGAACUCUGCAAAUUGACCCCGUAAGUUCGCGAGAAGGGGCGCCCAUUUUGAUGGGC
rnacentral:rRNA from 1 species